rnacentral:rRNA from 1 species
GACGAACGCUGGCGGCGUGCUUAACACAUGCAAGUCGAACGGAAAGGCCCUGCUUUUGUGGGUUUCUCGAUUGGCGAACGGGUGUGUAACACGUGAGUAACCUCCCCUUGACUUUCGGAUAACUUCUGGAAACUGCGGCUAAUAUCCGAUAUGAUCUCUUGCUGCAUGGUGGUGGUUGGAAAGUUUCGGCGGUUGGGGAUGGACUCGCGGCUUAUCAGCUUGUUGGUCGGGUAGUGGCUUACCAAGGCUUUGACGGGUAGCCGACCUGAGAGGGUUACCGGGGACAAGGGGACUAAGAGAGGGCGCAGAAUCGUACGGGAGGCAGAAGGGGAGAAUAUGACACAGUGGGGGGAAGCCUGAUGCAGAAACGCCGGGUGCGGAAUGACGGCCUUCGAGUUGUAAACAGCUUUCGAAGGUGACGAAGAGUGAGUGACGGUAAUGAGUAAAGAAGCACCGGCUAACUACGUG